rnacentral:rRNA from 1 species
GGGUUGUGAGGUUAAGCGACUAAGCGUACACGGUGGAUGCCCUGGCAGUCAGAGGCGAUGAAGGACGUGCUAAUCUGCGAUAAGCGUCGGUAAGGUGAUAUGAACCGUUAUAACCGGCGAUUUCCGAAUGGGGAAACCCAGUGUGAUUCGUCACACUAUCAUUAACUGAAUCCAUAGGUUAAUGAGGCGAACCGGGGGAACUGAAACAUCUAAGUACCCCGAGGAAAAGAAAUCAACCGAGAUUCCCCCAGUAGCGGCGAGCGAACGGGGAGGAGCCCAGAGCCUGAAUCAGUGUGUGUGUUAGUGGAAGCGUCUGGAAAGGCGCGCGAUACAGGGUGACAGCCCCGUACACAAAAAUGCACAUGCUGUGAGCUCGAUGAGUAGGGCGGGACACGUGGUAUCCUGUCUGAAUAUGGGGGGACCAUCCUCCAAGGCUAAAUACUCCUGACUGACCGAUAGUGAACCAGUACCGUGAGGGAAAGGCGAAAAGAACCCCGGCGAGGGGAGUGAAAAAGAACCUGAAACCGUGUACGUACAAGCAGUGGGAGCACGCUUCGGCGUGUGACUGCGUACCUUUUGUAUAAUGGGUCAGCGACUUAUAUUCUGUAGCAAGGUUAACCGAAUAGGGGAGCCGAAGGGAAACCGAGUCUUAACUGGGCGUUAAGUUGCAGGGUAUAGACCCGAAACCCGGUGAUCUAGCCAUGGGCAGGUUGAAGGUUGGGUAACACUAACUGGAGGACCGAACCGACUAAUGUUGAAAAAUUAGCGGAUGACUUGUGGCUGGGGGUGAAAGGCCAAUCAAACCGGGAGAUAGCUGGUUCUCCCCGAAAGCUAUUUAGGUAGCGCCUCGUGAACUCAUCUCCGGGGGUAGAGCACUGUUUCGGCAAGGGGGUCAUCCCGACUUACCAACCCGAUGCAAACUGCGAAUACCGGAGAAUGUUAUCACGGGAGACACACGGCGGGUGCUAACGUCCGUCGUGAAGAGGGAAACAACCCAGACCGCCAGCUAAGGUCCCAAAGUCAUGGUUAAGUGGGAAACGAUGUGGGAAGGCCCAGACAGCCAGGAUGUUGGCUUAGAAGCAGCCAUCAUUUAAAGAAAGCGUAAUAGCUCACUGGUCGAGUCGGCCUGCGCGGAAGAUGUAACGGGGCUAAACCAUGCACCGAAGCUGCGGCAGCGACGCUGAUGCGUUGUUGGGUAGGGGAGCGUUCUGUAAGCCUGUGAAGGUGUACUGUGAGGUAUGCUGGAGGUAUCAGAAGUGCGAAUGCUGACAUAAGUAACGAUAAAGCGGGUGAAAAGCCCGCUCGCCGGAAGACCAAGGGUUCCUGUCCAACGUUAAUCGGGGCAGGGUGAGUCGACCCCUAAGGCGAGGCCGAAAGGCGUAGUCGAUGGGAAACAGGUUAAUAUUCCUGUACUUGGUGUUACUGCGAAGGGGGGACGGAGAAGGCUAUGUUGGCCGGGCGACGGUUGUCCCGGUUUAAGCGUGUAGGCUGGUUUUCCAGGCAAAUCCGGAAAAUCAAGGCUGAGGCGUGAUGACGAGGCACUACGGUGCUGAAGCAACAAAUGCCCUGCUUCCAGGAAAAGCCUCUAAGCAUCAGGUAACAUCAAAUCGUACCCCAAACCGACACAGGUGGUCAGGUAGAGAAUACCAAGGCGCUUGAGAGAACUCGGGUGAAGGAACUAGGCAAAAUGGUGCCGUAACUUCGGGAGAAGGCACGCUGAUAUGUAGGUGAAGUCCCUCGCGGAUGGAGCUGAAAUCAGUCGAAGAUACCAGCUGGCUGCAACUGUUUAUUAAAAACACAGCACUGUGCAAACACGAAAGUGGACGUAUACGGUGUGACGCCUGCCCGGUGCCGGAAGGUUAAUUGAUGGGGUCAGCGCAAGCGAAGCUCUUGAUCGAAGCCCCGGUAAACGGCGGCCGUAACUAUAACGGUCCUAAGGUAGCGAAAUUCCUUGUCGGGUAAGUUCCGACCUGCACGAAUGGCGUAAUGAUGGCCAGGCUGUCUCCACCCGAGACUCAGUGAAAUUGAACUCGCUGUGAAGAUGCAGUGUACCCGCGGCAAGACGGAAAGACCCCGUGAACCUUUACUAUAGCUUGACACUGAACAUUGAGCCUUGAUGUGUAGGAUAGGUGGGAGGCUUUGAAGUGUGGACGCCAGUCUGCAUGGAGCCGACCUUGAAAUACCACCCUUUAAUGUUUGAUGUUCUAACGUGGACCCGUGAUCCGGGUUGCGGACAGUGUCUGGUGGGUAGUUUGACUGGGGCGGUCUCCUCCUAAAGAGUAACGGAGGAGCACGAAGGUUGGCUAAUCCUGGUCGGACAUCAGGAGGUUAGUGCAAUGGCAUAAGCCAGCUUGACUGCGAGCGUGACGGCGCGAGCAGGUGCGAAAGCAGGUCAUAGUGAUCCGGUGGUUCUGAAUGGAAGGGCCAUCGCUCAACGGAUAAAAGGUACUCCGGGGAUAACAGGCUGAUACCGCCCAAGAGUUCAUAUCGACGGCGGUGUUUGGCACCUCGAUGUCGGCUCAUCACAUCCUGGGGCUGAAGUAGGUCCCAAGGGUAUGGCUGUUCGCCAUUUAAAGUGGUACGCGAGCUGGGUUUAGAACGUCGUGAGACAGUUCGGUCCCUAUCUGCCGUGGGCGCUGGAGAACUGAGGGGGGCUGCUCCUAGUACGAGAGGACCGGAGUGGACGCAUCACUGGUGUUCGGGUUGUCAUGCCAAUGGCACUGCCCGGUAGCUAAAUGCGGAAGAGAUAAGUGCUGAAAGCAUCUAAGCACGAAACUUGCCCCGAGAUGAGUUCUCCCUGACCCUUUAAGGGUCCUGAAGGAACGUUGAAGACGACGACGUUGAUAGGCCGGGUGUGUAAGCGCAGCGAUGCGUUGAGCUAACCGGUACUAAUGAACCGUGAGGCUUAACCUUACAACGCCGAAG